CGGACCGGCGCACGGGUGAGUAACGCGUAUGCAACUUGCCUAUCAGGAGGGGGAUAACCCGGCGAAAGUCGGACUAAUACCGCAUGAAGCAGGGGCCCCGCAUGGGGAUAUUUGCUAAAGAUUCAUCGCUGAUAGAUAGGCAUGCGUUCCAUUAGGCAGUUGGCGGGGGUAACGGCCCACCAAACCGACGAUGGAUAGGGGUUCUGAGAGGAAGGUCCCCCACAUUGGUACUGAGACACGGACCAAACUCCUACGGAAGGCAGCAG
rnacentral:rRNA from 1 species